GCACAUGACACAUGGUUAAUUCUUCAUUUUCAAUCUUUUUACACUCAGGUAUAUCUCAGAUCUCUAGAUUUUUGGCAGUUCACCUUGGAUGACCACCCUUCAUUUGAAGCUGAAAACCGAGCUGUUCUAAAAAAAAACAAAAGUGAUCCUCGCCAAGAUCUCGCCAUCUCUACAGACAGCUCAAUCAUCUCUCCCUCACUGAAAGCCAAGAACCAUGGCAUUACACGGGAUGAGGAUCUGGCACAUUGUUCUAGUCCUGGAAUACAAGACAAAUUUUCAGCACUCGUCAUCUACCACAGCCUCACUGCAGUCUCCGCACAUUUGUCUUCAGCACUCCCCUAAAGUUCAGGCACACACACGUUUCACAGCCAGCCAGGUUCCUCGCGGGAGCCGCGUUUCACAAGUCUCUCUAAGGUCAGGCAUUCUGCGUCUGGGAUCCGUGCAACACUGAGGCGUCUCUCUCACUCUGGGAUACGGCAGCAAAUGCUAAAUUAGGACACAGAAAGCUUUCAUUCCAAUAAAGCCUCGGUCUCCUGAGUCAACGGACACAAAGAUCAGGGUUUGCUGGAGGAGGUGGUAAAUUAUUCAUGGCUUUAUACGAUUUGCUGGGAGCAAUUCUCUCCCUCUCUCUGUUGCACUCCUCUAGUCGUUCUCUCCCUCUUGCUUCUCUAGAAACUUUCCCUCCACCUGCCAGUCAAGACCUCCAGUAACCCGUCAUAUGUUUGACAG
rnacentral:lncRNA from 1 species